GGGUUGUGAGGUUAAGCGACUAAGCGUACACGGUGGAUGCCCUGGCAGUCAGAGGCGAUGAAGGGCGUGCUAAUCUGCGAUAAGCGCCGGUAAGGUGAUAUGAACCGUUAUAACCGGCGAUACCCGAAUGGGGAAACCCAGUGUGACUCGUCACACUAUCAUUAACUGAAUCCAUAGGUUAAUGAGGCGAACCGGGGGAACUGAAACAUCUAAGUACCCCGAGGAAAAGAAAUCAACCGAGAUUCCCCCAGUAGCGGCGAGCGAACGGGGAGGAGCCCAGAGCCUGAAUCAGCAUGUGUGUUAGUGGAAGCGUCUGGAAAGGCGCGCGAUACAGGGUGACAGCCCCGUACACAAAAGCGCAUGUGCUGUGAGCUCGAUGAGUAGGGCGGGACACGUGGUAUCCUGUCUGAAUAUGGGGGGACCAUCCUCCAAGGCUAAAUACUCCUGACUGACCGAUAGUGAACCAGUACCGUGAGGGAAAGGCGAAAAGAACCCCGGCGAGGGGAGUGAAAAAGAACCUGAAACCGUGUACG
rnacentral:rRNA from 2 species